CUGAAUGUCAUGUUCACAUCUCUCAGCCAUGACAAUGUCUAAAGCUGGCCUUCUCGUCCUCCUUGUCUUCUCUUUUCUCCUGGCUACAGGUUGUUCCUCCGUGAUUAGCAAGGUGUACCAGAUCCCACACGCUUUAAUUAGUGACGCUGGAGAGAAUGUCGAGCUACGCUGCAAUCAAAAGCAGACUGGCGCCAAUUAUAUUUACUGGUACCAGCAAUCUGUGAUAGGAGAACUCCAAUUCCUUGGCAGACUCUUCUACUCGGAGCACGUCAUGGAAAAGGACGUCGAUAAGCGGUUAUCCAUGGCCUGGACGGCUACUUCCAGCGGCUUGUUGCUCAUUUCAAACGCCUCAUGUUUGUAUUGUGUUUGUCUCUGACUGAGUCAACAUGUUCCGAGCCCUCACCAUCAGUGUCUUUGCUCUCUGGCACACAGGUUGGAGCCAGACUGUGCUGAUCACCCAGUGGCCAGGCUACAUCUCCAGCCAGCCUGACGCCUCGGUGGAGAUGCACUGUUAUCAGAACAACACAGACCAUCCCUACAUGUCGUGGUACAGGCAGCAGAGAGGGAAGGAGCCCGUGCUGAUGGCUACUCUCGUAGCUGGGUCUCCGAGCUACGAACCUGGGUUUGAUUCUGGCUUUGGAGUGUCAAGCUCGGAGAAAAAGAUGUGGUCUCUGGCCGUGGAGGCGGUGCGCAGUACUGACGAGGCGGUGUAUCUGUGCGCUGCCAGUCAGCACGGUGCUGCAGAGUCACGGAGCUCUGAGACAAUAUCCCUCCCUGGGAGGCUGCCAGGAGUCUCUGACACCUGCUGUUCAUGGCCCAGCCUGCUCACUGGUGGUGGGAAAGAAUGGGUCUUCCUAAGUAGGCAGUUACCUUAUCUACCUCCAGAGGGGGAAAAAAGUUGAUUCAUUUUAAUUCUGA